GAAAUUUAAAAUUUAGUGUGAUAGAUUUGGAACAGAAACUAAUUUUUAUACUUUUUGGUCAAUUAUUUUAUUAAGGCACACAAACCAGAAAACGGUAUAACAUUUGACCCAAAUACUAGUCCAAUGGAUUACACACAUUAAAAAAAAAAUAAAGAUAGACAUGAAACUUAAACAAGACAUGUGUAUUAGGUGGGGAGUUUCAUCCCCACGUGACCGCUGGAGAAGAUAAGAACGAAAACUUUAUCGGACACUUCAUCUCCGUCGUAAUCUUACACCGCCGACGUUGUUGAUAAAAAAAUCUUGUCGUCACCGCCGUGAAGCUUCAACUUGUGCCAGUAUGUACCGCAAGAUCCCUUUACAGUUUCGCUGGAGGAGAUCGAGUAUAGCAAACUUGAAACACCGGAAUAAAUAUCGGUUGACUGGAUCCGGAAUAUUCUCUAGAUGACCACCAAAACAUGGCGAGAAAAUCUAAAUCUUCAUAAUCCUCUAUAAUCAAACCGCAUCAUCUUGAUACAUCUACCAUGAAGUACCUUCGCUCAAUACAUCUACCAUGAAGUACCUGCUUACGCGGAGUGUAACAAUAAAAUCCUCGCUAUGAUACAUCUAUCAUGAAGUAUCAUGGAAGAAAUAGAAAGUAACGGUGAAUCAAUCGAUUACUUUUGGAAUUUGAUUACUUCGUAAAGAAGAGUCAAAGAUAGCAUGCAAAAAGGAUAAAAACUAAAUUCAAACAAAUUGGAAAUACUAAAUCUGAUGAACGGAAGGAAGUAUAAUACAUAAAACCGAUCUUGCCAGAACUUAUUCUCCGAUUAAACGGAAUAACAAAAAAGAAUAUAAACAAAAGGAGAACAGUCAAAAAAAAAAAAAAAAAGGAGAACAGUCUCUCUCUAUCUCUUUCUGUGAAAGAAUUUAAGAGAGAGAAUAGAGAGAGAGCUAUCCGGCCCAAGUAAUUUUUAUACUUUCAUGAUAUUUCUCAAAUUUUUUAUAGUAAACACCUAAAUUUUAAAU
rnacentral:lncRNA from 1 species